CAUGAAGCCGGAAUCGCUAGUAAUCGCGGAUCAGAAUGCCGCGGUGAAUACGUUCCCGGGUCUUGUACACACCGCCCGUCACACCAUGGGAGCCGGGAAUGCCCGAAGUCAGUGGCCCAACCGCAAGGGGGGAGCUGCCGAAGGCAGGCCUGGUGACUGGGGUGAAGUCGUAACAAGGUACC
rnacentral:rRNA from 1 species